CCUACGGGUGGCAGCAGUCGGGAAUAUUGCACAAUGGGGGAAACCCUGAUGCAGCGACGCCGCGUGAGUGAAGAAGUAUUUCGGUAUGUAAAGCUCUAUCAGUAGGGAAGAAAAUGACGGUACCUGACUAAGAAGCCCCGGCUAACUACGGGCCAGCAGCCGCGGUAAUACGUAGGGGGCAAGCGUUAUCCGGAUUUACUGGGUGUAAAGGGAGCGUAGGCGGCCAGACAAGUCAGAAGUGAAAGCCAAGGGCUCAACCCUGGGACUGCUUUUGAAACUGCCGGGCUGGAGUGCAGGAGAGGUAAGCGGAAUUCCUAGUGUAGCGGUGAAAGGCGUAGAUAUUAAGAGGAACACCAGUGGCGAAGGCGGCUUACUGGACUGUAACUGACGUUGAGGCUCGAAAGCGUGGGGAGCAAACGGGAUUAGAUACCCGGGUAGUC
rnacentral:rRNA from 1 species